GCACAGGUGCUGCAUGGCUGUCGUCAGCUCGUGUCGUGAGAUGUUGGGUUAAGUCCCGCAACCGAGCGCAACCCUUAUCCCUAGUUGCCAUCAGGUAAAGCUGGGAACUCUGGGGAGACUGCCGGUGAUAAACCGGAGGAAGGCGGGGAUGACGUCAAGUCCUCAUGGCCCUUACAUCCCGGGCUACACACGUGCUACAAUGGCAGGUACAGAGGGCUGCGAAGCCGCGAGGUGGAGCGAAUCCCAGAAAACCUGUCUCAGUCCGGAUUGAAGCCUGCAACUCGACUUCAUGAAGGCGGAAUCGCUAGUAACCGCGAAUCAGCAGGUCGCGGUGAAUACGUUCCCGGGCCUU
rnacentral:rRNA from 1 species